rnacentral:rRNA from 1 species
GAUGAACGCUGGCGGCGUGCUUAACACAUGCAAGUCGAACGGAAAGGCUCCUGCUUGCAGGGGUACUCGAGUGGCGAACGGGUGAGUAACACGUGGGUGAUCUGCCCUGCACUUCGGGAUAAGCCUGGGAAACUGGGUCUAAUACCGGAUAGGACCACAUUUUGGAUGGUGUGGUGGAAAGUUUUUCGGUGUGGGAUGAGCUCGCGGCCUAUCAGCUUGUUGGUGGGGUAAUGGCCUACGAAGGCGUCGACGGGUAGCCGGCCUGAGAGGGUGUACGGCCACAUUGGGACUGAGAUACGGCCCAGACUCCUACGGGAGGCAGCAGUGGGGAAUAUUGCACAAUGGGCGCAAGCCUGAUGCAGCGACGCCGCGUGGGGGAUGACGGCCUUCGGGUUGUAAACUCCUUUCGCUAGGGACGAAGCGCAAGUGACGGUACCUGGAGAAGAAGCACCGGCUAACUACGUG